rnacentral:rRNA from 1 species
GUGGGGAAUAUUGGACAAUGGGGGGAACCCUGAUCCAACCAUGCCGCGUGUGUGAAGAAGGCCUUUUGGUUGUAAAGCACUUUAAGCGAGGAGGAGGCUACCGAGAUUAAUACUCUUGGAUAGUGGACGUUACUCGCAGAAUAAGCACCGGCUAACUCUGUGCCAGCAACCGCGGUAAUACAGAGGGUGCAAGCGUUAAUCGGAUUUACUGGGCGUAAAGCGCGCGUAGGUGGCCAAUGAAGUCAAAUGUGAAAUCCCCGAGCUUAAGUUGGGAAUUGCAUUCGAUACUGGUUAGCUAGAGUAUGGGAGAGGAUGGUAGAAUUCCAGGUGUAGCGGUGAAAUGCGUAGAGAUCUGGAGGAAUACCGAUGGCGAAGGCAGCCAUCUGGCCUAAUACUGACACUGAGGUGCGAAAGCAUGGGGAGCAAACAGGAUUAGAUACCCCAGUAGUCC